rnacentral:lncRNA from 1 species
AUGGGAUCUUGGUGCAAUUCCUUUGCUGGUCGACUAAAAUCACAUAGUGCAUCGUUCCUCUGCCUUGUAUUCCAGACAGUACAUAAAAAAUCAAAAUAUAUUCAAAAUCAAAAGUUGACUAGAGACUGCUGCCAAUAUCAAGAUGGACUCUCAUACCAAGUGACUCUGGAGGCUAAAAAGCAGAAUGUAUGUACUUUUGUAACAAGCUGGUGUCUUGAUAGCUCAGUUCCACUAUUCCACUCCAUGAAAUCCACACUGCAUCCUGCCUGAGGUGUGGCUGAAGGGACCCGCAGGGCCAGGACACUGCAGGAAGAAACUGAAUGCUCGCCCAGGUGCCCCACGUAUCCUGAGAGAGAAAGAAGUCAGAUUAGUCAGUUCUCCCAAGAUGCUCCCAGAAUUCCAAACUCCUCUACUUCCUCAUCCCAACCUCAGUCCUUGUUCAGGACUCUGGCUUCUAGAAUCCUCCUUGGCCCACUCACUUAGGGACUUCCACCGUACUCAAGAGGAACUAAGUAUGGGGGCAUUUCUGUCUUUCUGUUUAGAAACACGAACAUCUUUACACUAUCUGGUGGGAAACGUUCUCUACUGCAGGAGUUCCCAACCUUCAGGCUCUAAUGCCCGAUGAUCUCAGGUGGAGCUGAUGCCAUCAUGAUAGAAAUAAAGUUCACAAUAAAUGUAAUGAGCUUGACUCAUCCUGAAACCAUCCCCUGUCCCCCACCCACCAUGGAAUAACUGUCUUCCACACUAGUCCCUGGUGCAAAAAAAAAAAAAAAAAAAGUAGUGUUGGGGAACACUCCUCUACUACCAAGAGCUCUGUUUCCUAGUUUUCCCUCUCCACUGGGCUGUGUAGUUACUGCCUUCCUUCACCGCUUCUAUUUCCCCAUCUUCUCCUUCCCUCUGCAUUACCUUACUUCACAAUCCCUCUUGGUCUCCAGGAAAAAAAAAAAAUUUUUUUUCACGGUCCUUAAAAAUUUAUUCCUUCUGUCGCACCCAGGGAUAUCUUUCCAAAUACAUAAAGCCCAUCACUCUGGUUUUCAAGCCUGAACGACUCUCCCAUGUCCACUCCUUUAUUAUUCGAUUCGCUGAAUUCUCAGAGAAUUGACGGCAGACGCACAGUAAGGAAAAGAGGAACCACCGUACGAGCAUGUGGAGUAGUUACUGCAAAAUCUCGAGCAAAGUAGUGUUGUGUGCUUGAAUNNNNNNNNNNNNNNNNNNNNUAUCCUCCGACCUUUCUCGAGGGUCAAACUAGCUUGACUGUUAUUCACCAAAAAGUUUCAAAACGUUUCCGCGCUUAAAAAAAAAAAAAAAAUUAGUCAGGCGCAUGCGCAACCUCAUACAGUUGUGGGGGGCGGGGUUGCUCUUCGCGCAGGCAAAUCUCGCGAUGUUUGAGCCAGACCGGAGCGUAGAGUUUUUUCUCUUCUCCCCUCCCCUCCACCAAGUGCAGUGAUUUAAUGCUGUAAUCAAAUUAAAAAUAUCAAGACUCCACGGCGAGAACAAACGAGGCUAGAAGUAGGCAACACGCCAGCGGCUGUUUUCCCUUCUAGGAAGGGCUUCUUGCGACGCCUCGAAGGCCCCACAAGUUCCUCAGAAACAAAAGUCAGAAGUAUGUAAAAACAGAAGAAGCCAACACACUGUAUCACCUUAGAGCGGUGUGGAGAUUCUUGUUUUUCCACUUUUUACUGUACGAAAAAUCCUAUUGGCUGCUAGCAAACCAGGUUACACGCCUGUCGCCACUGCGCAUGCGCUAGGUUUUGUUUACUACCUCGGACGGCCGCUGGGUCCCGCCUCGAGAUCCUGGCGUGUAAGGACACGUUCUGGGGUGUAGUUGUAAGCCGGGGACACGGAUGGGAGGUUGAUACCAGGACAGGUUAAGUGUAAGCCUGAAACCAGGGAAAAUACGAGCGGUAAUGAAAGCUCUUGAACACUCAGAAACCGUUCUCUUGUCAGAUCUGUCGUGUACUGAAGGUAAUGAACGUGAUAGCGCCACUCUUAAAUAACUAAGAAUUGGUAAGCAGCAACUCUAAGGCCCAAAGCGGAGAUGGAAUUUAGGUACUUGUUAAAAAUAUGGACUCUGUAAUGGAAAAGAUGCAAAUAACCCUAACGCUUAGGCCCAUCUUACUUAAAUUUCGAGCAAUACCUCCAUGAUUAAGAAUCUCUUGCAGCAGAGUCAAGAAGGCAGCCAUGCAAAUUUUGAAACUAAAAAUUGGUGACUCUAGAAGCAAUAGCCGGAAAAAGCACCAACCAACAAGCAAAUUUUUAAAAAAUGGCUUUAAGUUCCCUUCAAAAUCAGUUUCAAAUGGGUUAGAAGGCUAUGAUACAAGAUGAUAAUAUCUGGUGAAACUUUGGUUAUAUUAUAGAUAUGGCUAGAUCCGUUUGAAAACAAGGCAAGUAAAAAUUUUUUUAACGUAUUUUUGAUGGAAGAGUUCCUAAUGGUGAAUUUUAAUGUGCUCUAAACGGCCUUCAGUUGCUGGUAGAUUCAGCUAAACCUAGAUCUGUAUCUUUGAGUUGGAUAAUAGCAUCUGUAUCUUUGAGUUUGAUGUUUACAAUUUGGACGUUUAAUGGGACUAUUUGUUAGGUUUCAAAUAAUGAAUUUGAAGACUUUAAUUUGUAAUAGAAACUUUCUACAAAAGGAAGGUGAGAUUUUUAGGUCGUGAAAUUAAGUAAGGGAAAAGUAUGUACAUGUGUGCAAAUGGGGCCAAAUUUUCAAGGCUCUGGGCACUUCCACCAUGGUUCUCAGAGAGCCUUAACCUUAAAAAGUUAACCUCUAGAUUUUUCUCAUAUUUGACGUGAUAGUAAAAUGUAGUAAAUGUAGCAAUUUGGAUGCUUUUAAGGCAACAAUUGGUACCAAAAUCAGAAGGAACUUAAAAGUCCUGCUCCAUUAUCUAAGGUUGCACUCAUUUGGUUGAGGUAAGGUGAUAGCCAGUUUUCUAAGCAGGAUUGAAUUGACUUUUUUCCAUGAAGGAAAAGAAAUGUAGAUAAGCUGAAUUGAUUCUUUGUUCACUUAUUAAGGUGAUUAAGACUGACUCAUAAACACUGCUUACUUUGUCAAGGCAGUCAACAACUGUAAAAGAAACAAUGCUUUUAUUGCACAUGAUGAGAUGGUGCUAAUGGAAAUAGAGAAUGGAAAUUGGAUGAAGAGUUGAUACAGAGCUACCAAUCCUUUGAGACUACUGGUUCAUUUACAUGUGAUGAAAACGUUAGUGUAAGACCAGUAACUGGUCAAAUAAAACUUUUAUCUUUGUUCACUGAAAAAAAAUCUUUUAAUGAGUAAAAGAAACUCACCAGUGAAUUGGUUACCCAUUCAGUUUGUCAUGCAACUCAGGAAAUAGACUUCCAGANNNNNNNNNNNNNNNNNNNNNNNNNNNNNNNNNNNNNNNNNNNNNNNNNNNNNNNNNNNNNNNNNNNNNNNNNNNNNNNNNNNNNNNNNNNNNNNNNNNUAGACUUCCAGAAUUUCCACAGUCAGUAGCUAAAAACGUUAUCCAUGAAAUAAAAAAAAGCUAUCCAUAUUAUUUAUUUAGCAGCAUUCUGAGCAUGCUCUACUGUAAUUACCCUGACAUUGUAAGGCAGUGAGAAAACUGCUGCCUUUUGUAGUCACAUUUAUGUAAAUAUGGGUUCUUAAAUUAUUGUGACCCCAACAUAAGGAACUGCUGAACUAGGAAUUGUCUAUGCAUUCCCAAUUACCCCAAAUUUGUUGAAUCAAUACAAUAUAAUCUUACUUAUUGCUUCCCUUGUGGCUCAGCUGGUAAGGAAUCUGCCUGCAGUGCAGGAGACCUGGGUUCGNNNNNNNNNNNNNNNNNNNNNNNNNNAGAAGGGAACAGCUACCCACUCCAGUAUUCUGGCCUGGAGAAUUCCAUGAUCUUUAUAGUCCACGGGGCCGCAAAAGUCAGACACAACUGAGCGACUUUCACUUUCAAUCUUACUUAUUAACUGAGUGAUAGAAUUUUUUUCAUGACAUAAUUUUAAAGAUUUUAAAAGUACUAAACAUGUUACAGCCAAAUUGCAGUGUUUGUGCGUGAAUCUUUAUUGGUGAACAAGGGACUGCCAGAGAUCUGUGCUGCAGCUUCUAGCCCUGCACUCUUUCAAGUGUUGGGAGUAAUUCUAGUACACUUGUCACACCUGAAGAAAGAAUACUGCAGUCAGAUGGAAGGGAAUCAUUAGCAAGGGGGGUAGGGGCAUAUGGGAGAAAAAAGGGUGAACUUUGGUUGUGAAUAUUUAGCAGUGCCCAUUAAGGACAUCAUCUCUGCUACAAUACUCUUGCGACAGCUAGAGAACUCCACCCUAGGCUCUCUGCCAUCCUCAUCUUUGCCCGGCUGGCUUCUUUAUUGCAUUUGCAUCUUUCUGUUCUGCCAUCCUCAACUUAGUAGUCUUCUGUCACAGUCUCAGGAUGGCUGCCGUAGCACCGAACAUCAUGUUCUCAUAUGAAAUGUUCAAAGAGAAAGGAAGGGAUAGAGGGAGGGAAAAAAGAAAAGAGAAAAAUGCUUUCUCUUUAUGUCCUCCGUUAUCAGAGUGAAAAAUCUUUCCCAUAUGACUUAACAGACUUCCUCUCACAUCUCAUUGCUCAGAACUAUGUCAUAUGACUACCUCUAGCUGGGAGGAAGGGUAGGAAAGUAUGUAUAUACAGACAAAAAAAAANNNNNNNNNNNNNNNNNNNNNNNNNNNNNNNNNACAGGACUUACAGAAAAUACAAGCUUAGGAACAGACCACUCAAAACCUAUGCAGUUUUGUUACCUGAGGACCAUAAAAGUUACUAGGCUAAUGAAAAAUACCAUCACAAUUAAAUCUCCUCUGGUGUUCUCAACAUCACAGUAAUCUUUUAGAGCUGUAUUGUCUGUUUUGUCUAUGUGAGGCUGUUGAGCGUUUUUUAAGAUGUUUUUUAAUGUGGACCAUUUUUUAAGCCUUUAUUGAAUUUGUUAUAAUACUGCUUCUGUUGUUUAUGUUCUGGUUUUUUGGCUUCAAGGCAUGUGGGAUCUUACCUCUCCAACCGGGGAUCAAACCUGCACCUGCAGUAUUGGAAAGUGAAGUCUUAACUACUGGACCACCAGGGAAGUUCCAUUCUUGAGCAUUUAAAUGUACCAAUCCAAACUGAGAUGUGAUGUAAGUAUAAGAUACAUACCAAACUUCAAAGACUUCAGUUCAGUUGCUCAGUUGUGUCCGACUCUUUGCGACCCCAUGAA